GACGAACGCUGGCGGCGUGCUUAACACAUGCAAGUCGAACGAAGAGCGAUGGAAGCUUGCUUCUAUCAAUCUUAGUGGCGAACGGGUGAGUAACGCGUAAUCAACCUGCCCUUCAGAGGGGGACAACAGUUGGAAACGACUGCUAAUACCGCAUACGAUCUAAUCUCGGCAUCGAGGAUAGAUGAAAGGUGGCCCCUACAUGUAAGCUAUCACUGAAGGAGGGGAUUGCGUCUGAUUAGCUAGUUGGAGGGGGAACGGCCCACCAAGGCGAUGAUCAGUAGCCGGUCUGAGAGGAUGAACGGCCACAUUGGGACUGAGACACGGCCCAGACUCCUACGGGAGGCAGCAGUGGGGAAUCUUCCGCAAUGGACGAAAGUCUGACGGAGCAACGCCGCGUGAGUGAUGACGGCCUUCGGGUUGUAAAGCUCUGUUAAUCGGGACGAAAGGCCUUCUUGCGAAUAGUGAGAAGGAUUGACGGUACCGGAAUAGAAAGCCACGGCUAACUACGUG
rnacentral:rRNA from 1 species